rnacentral:rRNA from 1 species
GAUGAACGCUGGCUACAGGCUUAACACAUGCAAGUCGAGGGGAAACGACGGGGAAGCUUGCUUCCCCGGGCGUCGACCGGCGCACGGGUGAGUAACGCGUAUCCAACCUGCCUCUGACUGAGGGAUAACCCGUCGAAAGUCGGCCUAAUACCUCAUGGUAUCGUCUGCGGGCAUCCAACGACGAUUAAAGAUUUCAUCGGUCAGGGAUGGGGAUGCGUCUGAUUAGCUUGUUGGCGGGGUAACGGCCCACCAAGGCUACGACCCGUAGGGGUUCUGAGAGGAAGGUCCCCCACAUUGGAACUUGGACACGGUCCAAACGCCUACGGGAGGCAGCAGUGAGGAAUAUUGGUCAACGGGCGAGAGCCUGAACCAGCCAAGUAGCGUGCAGGAAGACGGCCCUAUGGGUUGUAAACUGCUUUUAUGCGGGGAUAAAGUGAGGGACGUGUCCCUCAUUGCAGGUACCGCAUGAAUAAGGACCGGCUAAUUCCGUG